UACGUAGGGUGCAAGCGUUAAUCGGAAUUACUGGGCGUAAAGCGUGCGCAGGCGGUUUUGUAAGUCAGAUGUGAAAUCCCCGGGCUUAACCUGGGAACUGCGUUUGAAACUACAAGGCUAGAGUGUGGCAGAGGGGUGUGGAAUUCCACGUGUAGCAGUGAAAUGCGUAGAGAUGUGGAGGAACACCGAUGGCGAAGGCAGCCCCCUGGGUUAACACUGACGCUCAGGCACGAAAGCGUGGGGAGCAAACAGG
rnacentral:rRNA from 1 species